AAAGGGACCGCGGGAGCUCCAAGUGGCUUUUUGGGAGCUGCUCUGCCGGCCCGCGGGGCACCACGCGCUUCACCCAGGUGAAGAGCAGAGCCUGGUGGCUGUCCUGUCCCUGCGAGACACUGGCGAUUCCUUGUCCCUCUGGAGCUCUCCGAGGGUUUCCAGCCACCCCUGGGCAGGUGACAGGUCACAUCCUCUCCCGGCCAGGUUCCUGCAGGAAUGCUGCCCUUGGACCUGUGAAUGACAACCCAGUUCUCACCUGUACCCACUCUGGCCAACGUUUCAGACCUUGGGCUCCAAAAUUCCUGGUGGUGGAUACCCACAAGUGCUAAAACCACCAUGGACUGCAGCAUAUCUGGUCAUCACAUCACUCAUCUACGUUCUUAACGACGAUUUAUUAGUGCUUAUGUGCAAAGGUGAAGAACUCUGUUCUAACUGCUUUGAUGUACCAAAGUAUUUCGUGAGAGGAGGUACAGAUGCAAAAAGGAGGCUGGAGACGGACUUUUUACAAGGACAAGUGUGAAUGGCCUUAAGCUAAAGGAGGGUAGGUUUGGAUUUGGUAUUAGGAAGAAAUUCUUCCCUGUGAGGCUGGUGAGGCCCUGGCACAGGUUGCUCAGAGAUGCUGUGGCUUCCCCGGCCCUGGCAGUGUUCCAGGCCAGGUUGGAUGGGGCUUGGAGCAACCUGGGAUAGUGGAAGGGGUCCUGCCCAUGGCAGCAGAGUUGGAACAAGAUGGUCUUUGAGGUCCCUUUCAACCCAAACUGUUCUAUGAUUCUGUGAAAAGGGUAACCCAAGUAAUUCCUGGCUCCUCACCAGACACGACUCAAAUGCCUGCAGAGCUUAUGUAGGACAGGAUAUACAUCCUGUUUCCAAAAUCUCACAGGCUCAGGCCCCUGAUCUGUCAGCAGAUGCAGCACAGGAUGGCUCUUUACCACAUGCAGCUGCUCAGUCUGUUCCAGCUCCACCACUGAGCAAAGAAUUCAUGAAUCACCUCCUGAAUUAUCAUAAAAUUUGCAUUAUAGCUUUUUGAGGAAAACACAGCCAUGGUUUACCUGUGAACCUUUGGGCUCUUACUGAUUUUUCAGCAAAUCACUCUAACCCCAAACCUAAUCCAUACAACAAGGGAAAGGUGACAGAAAAUAAAAAUACUCCAUCAACAUACUUUGUUUCUGUAAAUAGCCCCAGUCAUCAACCACGUCCAAGAUAAAAAUAGUAAAUUAAAUGGUUGUGGUAGUCCAGAACAGAAACAGGCCUCUGAAGGUUAUAAAGGAAGUCACAGAACUGUGAUUGUUCAUGGUUACACAGUUAUAGUUACAGCUAUUCUUUAUAUUCCUCUGUUUUCUCCUGUUUUACUGAGUUGAGAACUAUUUAUCUCGUGUUAAUGCAAUGCACAGUGUAAUGAAACCUUAAUGUUAUAAAUAAUAUAAAUAAAUAGCAAGUAAUUUUCAGUGUU